AUGGCGCCCCUCGACCCCGGCGCCUCCGCCGACCCCUCCUCGGGGCCCAGGCCCAUUAAUCCUGGUAGGAACAGAAGUAUGGAUCCAAGAAUGCGAGUGGCUUCUUCCAAUGCGCACCGUACAUCUAGUGCACGUCAAAGUGAUUCAAAGCUCGAGCUCUUCGGUUUCGACUCGUUGGUCAAUAUUUUGGGACUUAAGAGUAUGGCAGAAGAACCAGCUCAGACACCUGUCAGUCCUACGGAUAGUGAGGAUAUCGGUAUUACCAUCGGACGCCCUAAGGAAACUGACCCUAAACUCGGUACCAUGAUGGGUGUCUUUGUGCCGUGCUUGCAGAAUAUCUUGGGAAUAAUCUAUUAUAUACGUUUCACAUGGAUCGUCGGUAUGGGAGGCAUAUGGCAGUCCCUUGUUUUAGUUGCAUUAUGUGGCGCAUGCACAUUUUUAACUGCAAUAUCAUUAAGCGCGAUUGCAACAAAUGGGGCAAUGAAGGGUGGUGGACCAUACUAUCUAAUUGGCCGUGCACUAGGUCCAGAAGUUGGAGUUAGUAUUGGAUUAUGUUUCUUCCUUGGAAAUGCAGUUGCUGGGGCUAUGUAUGUGCUGGGAGCUGUAGAAACCUUUUUGGAUGCUGUUCCUUCUGCUGGAUUUUUUCAAGAGAAGGUUACAGUGGUCGAUAGUACAGCAAAUGGAGGCAGUGGAAUAACUAUAUCAACACCCAGCUUGCAUGACCUCCAGAUCUAUGGUGUCAUUGUGACCAUACUGUUGUGUUUUAUUGUGUUUGGUGGCGUCAAAAUUAUCAACAAGGUUGCCCCUGCUUUCUUAAUGCCAGUCCUCUUCUCAAUACUCUGCAUUUACAUUGGUGUCUUGAGUGCUCCAGGACCCAACUCUCCAAAGGGAAUCACUGGGUUAAGUACGACUACACUAGUUGACAACUGGAGUGCAGAUUACCAACCUACAAAUGAUGCUGGAGUUCCUGAUCCAAAUGGGCCUAUAUAUUGGGAUUUUAACGCAUUGUUAGGUCUCUUUUUCCCAGCUGUUACAGGAAUCAUGGCUGGUUCGAACCGCUCUGCUUCACUUAAAGACACACAAAGUUCAAUACCAAUUGGAACAUUAUAUGCUACCCUUUUAACUACUAUGAUGUAUCUACUGUCUGUGUUUCUGUUCGGAGCCUUGGCUACAAGACAAGAGCUUCUAACUGACAGGCUCCUAACAGCUACAGUCGCUUGGCCUGCCCCAGCAGUAAUUCACAUUGGCAUUAUCUUGUCUACUUUAGGUGCAGCGCUGCAGAGUCUAACAGGGGCUCCAAGGUUACUUGUGGCAAUAGCGAAUGAUGACAUUCUCCCUGUUCUAAACUGUUUUAAAGCUUAUGAAGGGUCUGAGCCGCACGUGGCGACUCUGUUUACAAGCUUCAUCUGUAUUAGUUGUGUUGUGAUUGGGAACUUGGAUCUAAUUACACCCACUAUCACUAUGUUUUUCCUUCUGUGCUAUGCCGGUGUGAACCUUUCCUGCUUUCUGCUUGACCUCCUCGAUGCUCCAAGUUGGCGUCCUCGAUGGAAGCUUCACCAUUGGAGCCUUUCUCUCAUCGGCGCAUUGCUUUGCAUUGUUAUCAUGUUUAUGAUCUCUUGGGCUUUUACUGUGGUCUCUCUUGCCCUUGCAAGCCUUAUCUACUACUAUGUCAGCUUAAAAGGAAAGGCUGGAGACUGGGGAGAUGGAUUUAAGAGUGCCUACUUUCAACUAGCUCUGCGAAGUCUUCGAUCACUGGGAGCAAACCAAGUUCAUCCAAAAAAUUGGUACCCUAUUCCUCUCAUAUUCUGCCGCCCUUGGGGCAGACUUCCAGAAGAUGUCCCAUGCCACCCAAAGCUUGCAGAUUUCGCUAAUUUCAUGAAGAAAAAGGGACGUGGCAUGUCGAUAUUCGUCUCUAUAAUUGAUGGUGACUAUCAUGAAUCUGCUGAGGAUGCAAAGGCAGUCUGCAGGCAACUAAGCGCUUAUAUUGACGACAAGCGCUGUGAGGGUGUUGCGGAGAUCAUCGUGGCACCCUCGAUGUCCGAUGGGUUUCGCAGCAUUGUUCAGACAAUGGGCCUGGGAAACUUGAAGCCAAACAUCGUGGUCAUGCGCUACCCUGAAAUCUGGCGGGAUGGAGGGCUGAUGCUUCUGCUGUCUCAGCUCCUACUAACCAAGGAUAGUUUCGAGGACUGUAAGAUCCAGGUCUUCUGCAUCGCCGAAGAGGACUCCGAGGCCGAGGAGCUAAAGGCUGACGUCAAGAAGUUCCUGUAUGAUCUCAGGAUGCGAGCAGAGGUUAUCGUCGUCACCAUGAAAUCCUUCGAAGCGCAUGCGGACGGCAGUUCCAGGAUUGAUGACACUCAAGAAGCUUACACAAGCGCACAGAACAGAAUCAGGGUAUACCUUUCGGAGAUGAAGGAGACCGCGGAGAGAGAAGGGCGGCCCCUGAUGGAGGGCGGCAAGCAGGUCGUGGUUAAUGAGCAGAAGGUGGACAAGUUCCUCAACACCAUGCUGAAGCUGAACGCUACCAUCCUCAGGCACUCCAGGAUGGCCGUCGUGGUGCUGGUGAGCCUCCCGGCGCCGCCGCUGAACCAGCCCGCCUACUGCUACAUGGAAUACAUGGAUCUGCUCGUCGAGAACGUGCCGCGGAUGUUGAUGGUUAGGGGAUACAGAAGAGAUGUUGUCACACUUUUCACAUGA
rnacentral:rRNA from 1 species